GGCCAGGUGGCGGAGUGGUUAACGCGGUAGACUCGAAUCAACAUCGUCAUCUACUUCCUUCGGGAGCGUCUGUUCGAAUCAGGCCCUGGUCG
rnacentral:tRNA from 1 species